AGUCAACCUAACCUAUGGACGGGGAUAACCUCGGGAAACUGAGAAUAAUACCCGAUAGGUCAUAAUGCCUGGAAUGGUUUAUGGCUCAAAUGAUUUACCGCCGUAGGGUGGGACUGCGGCCUAUCAGCUUGUUGGUGUGGUAAUGGCUCACCAAGGCUAUAACAGGUACGGGCUCUGAGAGGAGAGGCCCGGAGAUGGGUACUGAGACAAGGACCCAGGCCCUAUGGGGCGCAGCAGGCGAGAAAACUUUGCAAUGUGCGAAAGCACGACAAGGUUAAUCCGAGUGUUUCCUGCUAAAGGAAUCUUUUGUUAGUUGUAAAACCACUAUCGAAUAAGGGGUGGGCAAGUUCUGGUGUCAGCCGCCGCGGUAAAACCAGCACCUCAAGUGGUCAGGAUGAUUAUUGGGCCUAAAGCAUCCGUAGCCUGCUGUGUAAGUCUCCGGCUAAAUCCAUAUGCUCAACAUAUGGGCUGCCGGUGAUACUGUACAGCUAGGGAGUGGGAGAGGUAGACGGUACUCGAUAGGAAGGGGUAAAAUCCUUUGAUCUAUUGAUGACCACCUGUGGCGAAGGCGGUCUACCAGAACACGUCCGACGGUGAGGGAUGAAAGCUGGGGGAGCAAACCGGAUUAGAUACCCGGGUAGUCCCAGCUGUAAACGAUGCAGACUAAGUGAUGCAUUGGCUUGUGGCCAGUGCAGUACCUCAGGGAAGCCGUUAAGUUUGCCGCCUGGGGAAGUACGUACGCAAGUAUGAAACUUAAAGGAAUUGGCGGGGGAGCACCACAAGGGGUGAAGCCUGCGGUUC
rnacentral:rRNA from 1 species